UACGGGGGAGCAAGCGUUGUUCGGAUUUACUGGGCGUAAAGGGCGCGUAGGCGGUCAGCACAAGUCAGUUGUGAAAUCUCCGGGCUUAACUCGGAAAGGUCAACUGAUACUGUGCGACUAGAGUGCGGAAGGGGCAACUGGAAUCUCGGUGUAGCGGUGAAAUGCGUAGAUAUCGAGAGGAACACCUGCGGCGAAGGCGGCGUUCUGGACUGCAACUGACACUGAUGAACGAAAGCCAGGGAGCAAAGCGGG
rnacentral:rRNA from 1 species